GCGGGGACUCGGGCCUCGCACUAUUAGAGCGGCCGAUAUCGGAUUAAAGGGCUGGUGUAACGGCUCACUAAGGCGACGAUCCGUAGCUGGUUUGAGAGGACGACCAGCCACACUGGGACUGGAGACACGGCCCAUGACUCCUACGGGAGGCAGCAGGGGGAAUUUGACAAUGGGGGAAACCCCUGAUCCAGCCAUCCUUGCAAGAGCAAUAGCUUUCGGGUUGUAAAAGCACUUUUUGGUAAGAAACGGCACGGGAUAAUACCCCGUGCAACUGACGGUACCCGCAGUAACAAGCACCGGCUAACUACGUGCCAGCAGCCGCGGUACGCCGCAGGGUGCAAGCGUUAAUCGGAAUUACUGGGCGAAGCGUGCGCAGGCGGUUCGGAAAGAAAGAUGUGAAAUCCUGAGAGCUUAACUUUGGAACUGCAUUUUUAACGACGAGCUAGAGUGUGUCAGAGGGGAGGUGGAAUUCUUUGCGUAGCAGUGAAAUGCGUAGAUAUGCGGAGGUAAAGAACAGCGGCGAAGGCAGCCUCCUGGGAUAACACUGACGCUCAUGCACGAAAGCGUGGGGAGCAAACAGGAUUAGAUACCCUGGUAGUCCACGCCCUAAACGAUGUCAACUAGCUGCUGGGGCCUUCGGGCCCCGGUAGCGCAGCCAACGCGUGAAGCUGACCGCCCUGGGAGUGUUUACACGCAAGAUUAAAAACUCAAAGGAAUUGACGGGGACCUGCGCGCGGUCAGCGGUGGAUGAUGUGGAUUAAUUCGAUGCAACGCGAAAAACCUUACCUACACUCUUGACAUGUCUGGAAUCCCGAAGAGAUUUGGGAGUGCUCGCAAGAGAACCGGAAUACAGGCUGUAUGCUAUUGCACGUCAGCUCGUGUCGUGAGAUGUUGGGUUAAGUCCCGCAACGAGUUACAACUCUUGUCAUUAGUUGCUACGAAAGGGCACUCUAAUGAGACUGCCGGUGACAAACUGGAGGAAGGUGGGGAUGACGUCAAGUCCUCAUGGCCCUUGCGGUAGCCGAAGAAUGUCAUACAAUGGUCGGGACAGAGGGUCGCCAACCGCGAGGGGGAGCCAAUCCCAGAAACCCGAUCGUAGUCCGGAUCGCAGUUCGCAACUCGACUGCGAAGUCGGAAUCGCCAGUAAUUCAAGGAUCAGCAUGUCGCGGUGAAUACGUUCCCGGGUCUUGUACACACUGUCACAGUCAAUGUACACUAUGGAGCGGGUUUUACCAGAAGUAAGUAGAAUAACCGUAAGGAGGGCGAUUACCACGGUAGGAUUCAUGACUGGGGUGAAGUCGUAACAAGGUAG
rnacentral:rRNA from 1 species